AACGCCUGUCCUGGAUCUCUCCCAUCCCCUGGAGCAGAUCUCCGAGCGGGGAUUCCUCCCCAAGUUCCCGCUCCCGGCCCCGUCGAUCCCCCCCUGGUCGACGGGGCUUCUUU
rnacentral:sRNA from 1 species